rnacentral:rRNA from 1 species
AUUGAACGCUGGCGGCAUGCCUUACACAUGCAAGUCGAACGGUAACAGGUUAAGCUGACGAGUGGCGAACGGGUGAGUAAUGUAUCGGAACGUGCCCAGUCGUGGGGGAUAACUGCUCGAAAGAGCAGCUAAUACCGCAUACGACCUGAGGGUGAAAGCGGGGGAUCGCAAGACCUCGCGCGAUUGGAGCGGCCGAUAUCAAAUUAGGUAGUUGGUGAGGUAAAGGCUCACCAAGCCGACGAUCUGUAGCUGGUCUGAGAGGACGACCAGCCACACUGGGACUGAGACACGGCCCAGACUCCUACGGGAGGCAGCAGUGGGGAAUUUUGGACAAUGGGCGCAAGCCUGAUCCAGCCAUGCCGCGUGCGGGAAGAAGGCCUUCGGGUUGUAAACCGCUUUUGUCAGGGAAGAAAAGGUUCUGGCUAAUACCUCGGACUCAUGACGGUACCUGAAGAAUAAGCACCGGCUAACUACGUG